AGCCGGUCGGAAGGAAGCUGCUUCGUGCGCUUCAGUGUCCCAGGCACACUGCACGCAGCCGGGCACUGAGUACGUGCAGGAGAAACUUUUUUCUUAAUUGUUUAAGAAAGGCUAGUCUGCGGGCGCCUGGGUGGCUCAGUCGGUUAAGCGGCCGACUUCGGCU